UACGGGGGGGGCAAGCGUUGUUCGGAAUUACUGGGCGUAAAGGGCUCGUAGGUGGCCAACUAAGUCAGACGUGAAAUCCCCAGGCUCAACUUGGGAACUGCGUCUGAUACUGGAUGGCUUGAAUUCGGGAGAGGGACGCAGAAUUCCAGGUGUAGCGGUGAAAUGCGUAGAUAUCUGGAGGAAUACCGGUGGCGAAGGCGGCAUCCUGGACCGAGAUUGGCACUGAAAAGCGAAAGCCAGGGGAGCAAACGGG
rnacentral:rRNA from 1 species